UACGUAGGGGGCAAGCGUUAUCCGGAUUUACUGGGCGUAAAGGGAGCGCAGGCGGUGCGCCAAGUCUGAUGUGAAACCCCGGGGCUCAACCCCGGGCAUGCAUUGGAAACUGGCGGGCUGGAGUGCCGGAGAGGUAAGCGGAAUUCCUAGUGUAGCGGUGAAAUGCGUAGAUAUUAGGAGGAACACCAGUGGCGAAGGCGGCUUACUGGACGGCAACUGACGCUGAGGCUCGAGAGCGUGGGGAGCAAACAGG
rnacentral:rRNA from 1 species